rnacentral:pre_miRNA from 10 species
GUGCAUAUGCACGUAUGUACAUGUAUGUGUAUAUAUGUAUGUACAUAUAUGUAUAUAUAUGUGUAUGUAUG